UACGAAGGGGGCUAGCGUUGCUCGGAAUCACUGGGCGUAAAGCGCACGUAGGCGGAUCUUUUAAGUCAGGGGUGAAAUCCCAAGGCUCAACCUUGGAACUGCCUUUGAUACUGGGGAUCUCGAGUCCGGAAGAGGUUGGUGGAACUGCGAGUGUAGAGGUGAAAUUCGUAGAUAUUCGCAAGAACACCAGUGGCGAAGGCGGCCAACUGGUCCGGUACUGACGCUGAGGUGCGAAAGCGUGGGGAGCAA
rnacentral:rRNA from 1 species